GUCACAUUGUGGCAUUUAAUUCAAAUCACUGCAGUGCACAUAAUUCUUUCUUUGAUUUAAUGCUGAAGUGCAGAAGUUUUUGUAUGAUUCCUAUCAUUACUAGUGAAGAGCGGUGUGAGUGAGAUGCUGGCAGAGGUCAUGCAGUGCACCGUGGUGAUUGAGUGUGUGGUCACAGGCACUGCCUGAACCCGAGCGCUGGCACCCAUCCAGCAGAACACCAACGCUGACCUCCUGACACACACACACACACACACACACACACACACACACCUGCUGCUGAACGGCAUGGACAGCUACAUCACUGCAUGUCCCAAACAAAAUAUAUGGAAAUAUACUGGAAAAUAAAUGGAAACCCAAGUCUCUGGACUCAUCCACCUGAGAGCAGGAACAUUCCAGCGGAAGAAUGCUUUGUACAUGCAUGCACAGGGUAAGCUCAAAAAUGUUAAUAAUCUCUCUCUCUGCUGGCAAGUGGAGACACACGUUUACUCUGUCAUAUAUGCAAAUAGAGGAGCUGAUUUGGGGAAACUGCUAUUGAUUGCACCCGUUGAUCUAUCGGCUCAUUUUGAACCCUUUCCUCUCCGGGCUGUGCAAAAGUAGAGCACUAAUGUGUAUUGGGUCUGAUUGGAUAAGUGAUAUUCACUCUGGACUUUGUGACAGUCUCUUAAAAUGAGGUCAAUCAGGGUUGUAUUGAAAGGAGAACCUUAUGAAGACCUGCGACUGGAUGGAGAUGGUUCUCAACUGGUUUUGCUUUAAGACACAGACUUUAUAUUGGGCAUCAAGUGGCGACUCCAAGCACCGAAAAUCUUUAUCCAAUAGUAAAAUAAAACCAAUGUUUUGUUUACA
ensembl:lncRNA